CAUGCUGAAAACCCCAACUUCGGGAGGGGUGUAUUUAUUAGAUAAAAAACCAACGCCCUUCGGGGCUUCUUGGUGAUUCAUGAUAACUUUACGGAUCGCAUGGCCUUGCGCCGGCGACGGUUCAUUCAAAUUUCUGCCCUAUCAACUUUCGAUGGUAAGGUAUUGGCUUACCAUGGUUUCAACGGGUAACGGGGAAUUAGGGUUCGAUUCCGGAGAGGGAGCCUGAGAAACGGCUACCACAUCCAAGGAAGGCAGCAGGCGCGCAAAUUACCCAAUCCCGACACGGGGAGGUAGUGACAAUAAAUACUGAUACAGGGCUCUUUUGGGUCUUGUAAUUGGAAUGAGUACAAUUUAAACCUCUUAACGAGGAACAAUUGGAGGGCAAGUCUGGUGCCAGCAGCCGCGGUAAUUCCAGCUCCAAUAGCGUAUAUUAAAGUUGUUGCAGUUAAAAAGCUCGUAGUUGAAACUUGGGUCUGGCUGGCAGGUCCGCCUCACCGCGUGUACUUGUCCGGCCGGGCCUUCCUUCUGGAGAACCUCAUGCCCUUCACUGGGCGUGUUGGGGACCAGGACUUUUACUUUGAAAAAAUUAGAGUGUUCAAAGCAGGCCUUUGCUCGAAUACGUUAGCAUGGAAUAAUAGAAUAGGACGUGCGGUCCUAUUUUGUUGGUUUCUAGGACCGCCGUAAUGAUUAAUAGGGACAGUCGGGGGCAUCAGUAUUCAAUUGUCAGAGGUGAAAUUCUUGGAUUUAUUGAAGACUAACUACUGCGAAAGCAUUUGCCAAGGAUGUUUUCAUUAAUCAGUGAACGAAAGUUAGGGGAUCGAAGACGAUCAGAUACCGUCGUAGUCUUAACCGUAAACUAUGCCGACUAGGGAUCGGGCGAUGUUCUUUUUCUGACUCGCUCGGCACCUUACGAGAAAUCAAAGUUUUUGG
rnacentral:rRNA from 1 species